GACGAACGCUGGCGGCGUGCCUAAUACAUGCAAGUAGAACGCUGAAGCGAGGAGCUUGCUCUUCUUGGAUGAGUUGCGAACGGGUGAGUAACGCGUAGGUAACCUGCCUUGUAGCGGGGGAUAACUAUUGGAAACGAUAGCUAAUACCGCAUAACAAUGGAUGACACAUGUCAUUUAUUUGAAAGGGGCAAUUGCUCCACUACAAGAUGGACCUGCGCUGUAUUAGCUAGUAGGUGAGGUAAUGGCCCACCUAGGCGACGAUACAUAGCCGACCUGAGAGGGUGAUCGGCCACACUGGGACUGAGACACGGCCCAGACUCCUACGGGAGGCAGCAGUAGGGAAUCUUCGGCAAUGGGGGCAACCCUGACCGAGCAACGCCGCGUGAGUGAAGAAGGUUUUCGGAUCGUAAAGCUCUGUUGUAAGUCAAGAACGGGUGUGAGAGUGGAAAGUUCACACUGUGACGGUAGCUUACCAGAAAGGGACGGCUAACUACGUG
rnacentral:rRNA from 1 species